rnacentral:ncRNA from 1 species
ACAAGAGCGAGGAAGAGGAUUAGUAAAUAUAGGAUAUGCCACAGAGAGAGAAUCGGAUGGUGAGAGAUUCUUGCAGAAGAUGUAUUGAACCUGCCUUGGAGCUUCUGUGUGAAAGCACAGCGUACAUCUGCGUUAAAGAGGACAGAGAGAAUUUUAGCUGGAGAUGGCAGUAGCCGGAGCCGGUUAUGAUUAAUAAGGGUGGUACCGCCGAGCAUUUCGGUCCCUUGC